GACAGAGGGGGCAAGCGUUGCUCGGAAUUACUGGGCGUAAAGGGCGCGUAGGCGGGAUGGCAAGUCGGUCGUGAAAUCCCUCGGCUCAACCGAGGAAGCGUCGAUCGAUACUGCUGUUCUUGAGGAUUGCAGAGGAGACUGGAAUUCCCGGUGUAGCGGUGAAAUGUGUAGAGAUCGGGAGGAACACCGGUGGCGAAGGCGGGUCUCUGGGCAAUUCCUGACGCUGAGGCGCGAAAGCGUGGGGAGCAAACGGGG
rnacentral:rRNA from 1 species